rnacentral:rRNA from 1 species
UGAGGAAUAUUGGUCAAUGGGCGAGAGCCUGAACCAGCCAAGUCGCGUGAGGGAAGACGGUCCUACGGAUUGUAAACCUCUUUUGUCGGGGAGCAAUAAAGCGUACGCGUACGCAGAUGCGAGUACCCGAAGAAAAAUGCAUCGGCUAACUCCGCGCCAGCAGCCGCGGUAAUACGGAGGAUGCGAGCGUUAUCCGGAUUUAUUGGGUUUAAAGGGUGCGCAGGCGGAAAGUGCAAGUCAGCGGUCAAACGACGGGGCUCAACCCCGUCUCGCCGUUGAAACUGUCUUUCUAGAGUGAGCGAGAAGUAUGCGGAAUGCGUGGUGUAGCGGUGAAACUGCAUAGAUAUCACGCAGAACUCCGAUUGCGAAGGCAGCAUACCGGCGCUCAACUGACGCUCAUGCACGAAAGCGUGGUAUCGAACAGGAUUAGAUACC